CCUACGGGAGGCAGCAGUAGGGAAUAUUGGGCAAUGGACGGAAGUCUGACCCAGCCAUGCCGCGUGCAGGAAGAAGGUCCUCUGGAUUGUAAACUGCUUUAGACGGGGAAGAAUAAGGAUCAUGCGUGAUCUGAUGACGGUACCCGUAGAAUAAGCACCGGCUAACUACGUGCCAGCAGCCGCGGUAAUACGUAGGGUGCGAGCGUUGUUCGGAUUUAUUGGGUUUAAAGGGUGCGUAGGCGGGAGAGUAAGUUCGCUUUUAAAGCCGGCCGCUUAACGGUCAGGUAGGGGGCGGAUACUGCUUUUCUUGAGAGGGCUCGGGGCUGGCGGAAUUUGUGGUGUAGCGGUGAAAUGCAUAGAUACCACAAGGAACACCGAUCGCGUAGGCAGCCAGCCAGGGCCUUUCUGACGCUGAGGCACGAAAGUGCGGGGAGCAAACAGGAUUAGAUACCCUGGUAGUCCGCACUGUAAACGAUGCAUACGUCGGUGUCGGCUCGUUAGAGCGGUGCCUGAGGAACCGAUAAGUNUGCCNCGNGGAGUACGCCGGCGACGGUAGAACGUACGAAGAGAGUAGACGGCGUGAGACGUGCCGACGACGACGACGAGGGAGGAGG
rnacentral:rRNA from 1 species